AGCUGAUAUACCUUUGCUUAGAUAAAGGAUCCUUGAGAUCUAAACUCCACAAAACCCACAUUAGAAAAUCAAGUGUAAUCCAAUCAGGAGGUGAAGAGAGGCUUACGAAAGCAAUGUAUUAGAGAGGAAAGACCAGAGCAAGAUUUUGAAGAGAUAGCUUCUCUGGGACAUGAAGCCUGGAUGAAGAAGCACUGUGCAUAGACUCCAGGGGAAAAUGAAGGAAGUGACAAAGGGAGCAUUCACUCUUCUGCAUUGGAGAUUGGAUUUCCCGACAUGAAAUUAUAAACUAAGUAAGAAUGCUGAGUACAGAAGGAUCCAAAGUCGUGGAAGACAUCGCCAUGUGAGGAAACUGGGUGAAGAGUUCAAGGGAAUCUACGUAUGACUUUUGCCACUUCUUGUGAUUCUAGUAAUUUUAAAAUAAAAAGUCAAGGGAGAAGAAGAUUCUGUGACUACAUCUGAUCAACAUAGAUACCUUCACAGCCAUUUCUUCCUCCAGGGCAGUGGAGGUGAAACACAUAUCAAUGGUCAGCACUGAGUUCUCUGAGUGGAAGGAAGAUUUUUGAAGACAAAAAAUGCUGGCUAGAAACAACUCCUUAGUGACUGAAUUUAUUCUUGCUGGAUUAACAGAUCAUCCAGAGUUCCAGCAACCCCUCUUUUUCCUGUUUCUAGUGGUCUACAUUGUCACCAUGGGAGAAGAAGAUUCUUUGACUACAUGUGGUCAACGUAGAUACCUUCACCACCAGUUCUACCUCCAGGGCAGUGGAGGUGAAACACAUAUCAAUGGUCAGCACUGAGUUCUCUGAGUGGAAGGAAGAUUUUUGAAGACAAAAAAUGCUGGCUAGAAACAACUCCUUAGUGACUGAAUUUAUUCUUGCUGGAUUAACAGAUCAUCCAGAGUUCCGGCAACCCCUCUUUUUCCUGUUUCUAGUGAUCUACAUUGUCACCAUGGUGACUUUCAUCCUGGUCUGAGGCCUUCAUCGCUGACUCUUGCUCCCUCCAGUUUUAUCCUUAAUAGGCAUUUAUAACAAAA
rnacentral:lncRNA from 1 species